GAUGAACGCUGGCGGCGUGCCUAAUACAUGCAAGUCGAGCGAACAGACGAGGAGCUUGCUCCUCUGACGUUAGCGGCGGACGGGUGAGUAACACGUGGAUAACCUACCUAUAAGACUGGGAUAACUUCGGGAAACCGGAGCUAAUACCGGAUAAUAUAUUGAACCGCAUGGUUCAAUAGUGAAAGACGGUUUUGCUGUCAGUGUUGGAUGGAUGUGCGCCGCAUUAUCUAGUUGUUAGGGUAGCGGCUUACCAAGGCUAUGACGGGUAGCCGGCCUGAGAGGGUGACCGGCCACAUUGGGACUGAGAUACGGCCCAGACUCCUACGGGAGGCAGCAGUGGGGAAUAGUGCACAAUGGGCGGAAGCCUGAUGCAACAACGCCGCGUGCGGGAUGACGGCCUUCGGGUUGUAAACCGCUUUCGCCUGUGACGAAGCGUGAGUGACGGUAAUGGAUAAAGAAGCACCGGCUAACUACGUG
rnacentral:rRNA from 1 species